CAACCUCCUCAACCACCUGAGCAACAGUCCACUGAAGUUAAGAAGACUUGACGAUAUGAUCACUGGAACCAUGCUGAAGGUCGUGCUUGUCCUCGGAUGCCUCCUGAGUCUCACUCUGGCUGAACCAUUGCACAAGGCCCACAAACGAGUUGCCCGAUCCAGUUCUGGUUCUGAUUCUGAUUCAAACUCCCGCGAGGU